rnacentral:rRNA from 1 species
GACGAACGCUGGCGGCGUGCUUAACACAUGCAAGUCGAACGGAAAGGCCCCUUUGGGGGUACUCGAGUGGCGAACGGGUGUGUAACACGUCAGUAACCUGCCCUUGACUUCGGGAUAACUUCAGGAAACUGGGGCUAAUACCGGAUAGGAAUCCUUGCUGCAUGGUGGGGGUUGGAAAGCUUCGGCGGUUUUGGAUGGACUCGCGGCUUAUCAGCUUGUUGGUGGGGUAGUGGCUUACCAAGGCUUUGACGGGUAGCCGGCCUGAGAGGGCGACCGGCCACAUUGGGACUGAGAUACGGCCCAGACUCCUACGGGAGGCAGCAGUGGGGAAGAGUGCACAAUGAGCGGAAGACUGAUGCAGCAACGACGCGUGCGGGAUGACGGCAUUCGGGUUGUAAACCGCUUUCAGCAGGGGCGAAGCUUGUGGUGACGGUACCUGCAGAAGAAGCACAGGCUAACUACGUG